rnacentral:rRNA from 1 species
UGAACCUGGUUGAUCCUGCCAGUAAUCGUAUGCUUGUCUCGAAGAUUAAGCCAUGCAUGUAAAGUUCAAGCUCCGAUAUGAGUGCGAAACCGCGAAUGGCUCAUUAAAUCAGUCAUAAUCUACUUGAUUGUUUCAAGUUUAUAUGGAUAACUGUGGUAAUUCUAGAGCUAAUACAUGCACAAAGAGGGCGACUC